AACAGGGAUGAAAAAGCCUGUUUCCACCAAGCAUGCCAACCAAAUAGGAACCAACAGCAAAAUCUGGGGACCAAACUGGGAAUAAAUAGCUGAGAAAUUCAACACAAAGACAGCAAACUUUGGAGCUAAAGCUGACUUACCACAUUAAGUGAAAAGUGAUAUAACCAACUGAAAGAAGAAUUGUAGGAGAAAUGGAUGGAACAAGGUGACUCUGAACUUGAGCCAGGAUAAAGCCAUUCUGAAAAUCCAAACUUCACUCUUUCAUUGUAAUCACUGACUAAAAUGGUGGCCAAGGGCAAACCAGAGAUGGAGAAUUUUGUCACCCACAGAAUUGAGACCACAUUACUUGAAUAAAUGACAUGUUAAGCCA